GCACUGGGUUAGCUCAAUGGUUACUUCAAACUUUGCAAGUUUCUCAUUCCGCGGCCGCAAGGUUGCUGGGUUCGGACCAUGGGCGCUGUCCAGUGUUUUU
rfam:Lepisosteus oculatus linkage group LG6, whole genome shotgun sequence.